AUGCCGCCGCUCCUGGUCCGGCACCCGGUACUUAUCUUCAUUAUCCCUACCAUGCUCCUCACCCUCCUCGGGCUCCCACCAACUGCUACGCUCGCCACCAGGUUCUACUCGUUCGACCUGAUGCGCGAGUACCCUCACGAUCCGGAGGCCUUCACAGAGGGCCUCUUGUAUGGAGGAAAUGACACUCUUUUCGAGUCCACUGGCCUUUUUGGCAGGUCAUCCGUGCGAAAGGUUGAUCUUCAGACAGGAAAGUGUGGUAGUUUUUCCCACAAAAUGCGUGAUGGGUGGGGGCUAGCUACAGAUGGGAAGGUUGUUUUCGGCAGUGAUGGUACCUCAACUUUGUACCAGAUAGAUCCGGAGUCUCAUCAGGUCAUGAGGAUGGUGCCUGUGAAAUAUCAAGAUAAUGACGUUAGGUAUCUUAAUGAACUUGAAUACAUAAACGGUGAAGUAUGGGCAAAUGUCUUCAAGACAGAUUGCAUCGCUAUAAUUUCCCCUGAUAGUGGCAUAGUGGUGGGUUGGGUUUUUCUUCAUGAGCUGAGGCAUCACUCACUGAAUUCAGGUAAUAUGGCUCAUGACGUUCUAAAUGGUAUAGCUUGGGAUGAAGACAACCGCAGAUUGUUCGUGACCGGAAAAUUAUGGCCAACACUGUAUGAGAUUAAGCUACGUCACAUUGAGGGGCCACCAGAUGGGUCUAUAGAGAAGCUAUGUCCAAGGAUCAUAAUUCCGGGUUCCGGCAAUUUCCCCAAACAAGCCGGCUGGUCGGUUACCAGGUGA
rnacentral:rRNA from 1 species